CGUGUAGGCGGAGAUGCAAGUUGGGAGUGAAAUCCCGGGGCUCAACCCCGGAACUGCUUCCAAAACUGUAUCCCUUGAGUAUCGGAGAGGCAAGCGGAAUUCCUAGUGUAGCGGUGAAAUGCGUAGAUAUUAGGAGGAACACCAGUGGCGAAGGCGGCUUGCUGGAUGACAACUGACGCUGAGGCGCGAAAGCGUGGGGAGCAAACA
rnacentral:rRNA from 1 species